GAGAGAACCAGGUGGGAGGGAGGCCGGCAGGCCUCCCCACUCCUCCUGCCUGCCCACCCUGGGCUCCCGGGUCACCCACUCCUCUCCGUCCGUCCCAGGAUCCGGGCUCCGCCAGAGGGACGGGCCAGGCUCACGGUCUUCGGCCUCAGACCCCAGCACAUUGCUGACGGGCUCGGCCAGUUACCGAUUAGCCCGGGGUCCUGGGCAUCCGCGUCCCCCCGCGGCCAGCCGGACCUGCCCCACCGGCCUGGCUUUGUGAAAAUGAGCAACGCAAUGGAGUCCGGAGGGAGCAUCACGAGGCCACGAAAUGGAGCGAUGCCCUGCCACACACUUCACGUGGACAGACGCUGAACACGCGGUGCUCAGUGAGAUGGCGGACACACGAGGCCACACGAUGUGACCCCAUUUCUGUGACACGUCCACAGCAGGCGAAUCCACAGACAGAACUUGGGUUUGUGGGGGCUGGGAGCUGGGGAGUGAAUGUUCAUGGGGAUGUGGCUUAUUUUGGGGGGAUGGAAUGUUCUGGAAUUAGAGAUGAUGGCUGCACAAUUUUGUGAGUACACUGAAUUGUUUAUAAAAAUAUUUAAUGGAAUAUAUAAAAAAUAAAAAUGCAAGAAACUAUAAGGAACAAAAUAUCAACAUUUUAAAUAAGGAUAGCAUCAUAUUACUGAGUUUUCCCAUUGGC